CCCUAUGGUAGCUAGAUCUUUUAAUCGGGAGACCGGAUCUUUAUAAGGGUGAUGACCUUUUGGAGAUAAAGAAGAUUUAGGUCUUCUUCUGUCGCCCCAACAAAACUCUUUCAAGAUUUUUGGUUAUAGAUUCUCUUUUGGUAAAUCUUGGUAAAGUAAAGCUCAAUAAGGUCUUUUUGUCUUUCUUUUCUAUUCAGAUCUCUUCAUCUGAAGGUUAAUUUUCGGUUAAUAAAAAUGAAACAGCUUUACUCUCGUAUGUUCCUUCAUUCCAGCCUCUAAUUAAGAGGCAAAUUAUUAUGC
rnacentral:rRNA from 1 species